AUGUUCGUAAAAAGAAGAGUUGGUUGACAUCUCCCCCUAGAAGGAUGGAAACAAUCUUCGGGUUUUACCUAUUACCACACAUCUAUUUAAGGCAUUCCAACUUAGUGGGACUAGCCAAGAAUGUGA
rnacentral:ncRNA from 1 species